rnacentral:rRNA from 1 species
AGAGUUUGAUCCUGGCUCAGGACGAACGCUGGCGGCGUGCUUAACACAUGCAAGUCGAGCGGAAAGGCCUCUUCGGGGGUACUCGAGCGGCGAACGGGUGAGUAACACGUGAGUAACCUGUCCUUGGCUUUGGGAUAACCCUCGGAAACGGGGGCUAAUACCGGAUAUGACCUUGUCCUGCAUGGGGUGGGGUGGAAAGUUUUUUCGGCUAGGGGUGGGCUCGCGGCCUAUCAGCUUGUUGGUGGGGUGAUGGCCUACCAAGGCGACGACGGGUAGCCGGCCUGAGAGGGCGACCGGCCACACUGGGACUGAGACACGGCCCAUACUCCUACGGGAGGCAGCAGUGGGGAAUAUUGCACAAUGGGCGGAAGCCUGAUGCAGCGACGCCGCGUGAGGGAUGACGGCCUUCGGGUUGUAAACCUCUUUCAGCAGGGACGAAGCGUGAGUGACGGUACCUGCAGAAGAAGCGCCGGCCAACUACGUGCCAGCAGCCGCGGUAAUAC